rnacentral:lncRNA from 1 species
GUUUCGCAAACAACAGAUCGGGUUUCUAAAAGCUAUUUCAACCCCCCUCCCAGUUACUGCCACCCUCUCCCAGGUCUAGAGAGGGGUACCCACGGUGGAGGGAGGUGGGAGGCCGAGACGGCCCCGGGGGUCGGCGGAGACCCAGCGGGAGCAGGGGGAAAUCGGAAGAGCUGGGGGCAUGGAGCGGGCGAGUUUGGAGCGGAAUGAGCCGGGAGCCCUACGUUGUGGAAGGAAGACAACAGUAUAGGACCAUCAGCAGGACCGGACAGAGAGGGGCACCCCUGGCUGUCCUGGAACUUGUAGACCAGGCUGGCCUUGAACUCAGAAAUCCGCCUGCCUCUGACUCCCGAGUGCUGAGAUUAAAGGUGUGCACCACCACACCCGACAAGGAAGCCUGUUUUAAGAAGUGAUUCCAUGGAGGAGUUCUGCGGCGGCUCAGGGCUUGACUAAACAGUGGACCUCAGACAAGAGAGGCUAAACCAGGCUGCAGGUGACAGGAAGAAUUGAAUAAACUGAAAGCAAAGGGCAGCCUUCUAAUUACGCUUCGUGGCUAUGUGGACAACCUGGAGAAGUCUGGAAACAAGCCAGAAGCCCGAAGCCAGCAGUAGAGCUCUGACUGGCUUGUAUGCCUAGAAAGGAAGGGCUCUUCUUUCGCCUCACGGGCACAAAUGGGACCCACGAGCGCCGAUUUCAGACUAUUCUGAUCCCUUCAAAAAGAAAGUUAGGAGUCCAGGCUACUGUGAGUGAAUUUGAUUCUAAUUGUUUCAGAGAAUAUGGAAUAAAAUAUCUCAUUUGCAGUUGUUUA